rnacentral:lncRNA from 1 species
UGGAAUUCAUUGUAGGGACCGCAAGUUUAAACAAUCUGGUGGAGGUAGAAAGAAGAAAAAGAAACAACACUGCAAGAUCUUCAAGGAAAUUUCAUUACGUAGGGACAACUUGGUGGAAAAGAAUGGGAUACAAUGUUGUAUUACUUUAAUACGACGACAGGUUGAAGUUGAUGUGUCAAGGAAAGGAAGUCGUCGCCCAUUCAGUCUUUUGGCGUAUUAUUAUUUGUCCCACCAUUAAAUAAAAUCUUUGUUUCCUACCAUGAUAUUAUCUUUUUGUUGGGCUUAUUCUAUCACAAAAUUUCUUAAUCUUUUCUUAAUUUGUUUGCAUUCUAUUAAAUAUUAUCAAAGUUUGUUUUUAUUUUAAGCUGUAUUUUGAAAUUCAAAAUUUCUCAACUUGCUAUUCAUUUUUCUCUAUUUAUUAUAUAGAAAAUCAAAUUAAAUUCCAUCUUUUAAAAUUUUCUUCUAGAAGACUUUGUUUUUGGUAUCAUUUCUCUCUUAUAAAUUGUAUAUAAUUAAAAUAAAAUUAAUGAUAUGGCAGAUAAAAAAAUCGAAUCUAAUAUUCUAUUAACAAAUGAUUCUUUUAUUAAAAAAAAACAAUGCUAUGGAUAUCUAUUUCUAAGGACUGUAUUGAUAAAAAAAAUUCAAAAGACAUAUAAAUAAACUGAUAUUCAAGAUAUUGCAAAGAAAGAUUGGUGCGUAAUGAAAAAUUAAUUCUUUUUGGAAGAAUUACAAAUGGUCAUUUUUUAAAACAAAAAUUUAACAAAUGAUAUAUAUAAGAAGUGUCUAUAAGCCUUGUUAACCUAAUUUUUAUAUAUAAAUUUGGAGUAAAAUACGCCAAACAUUCAUAAUUUUUACAUAAUUUUUUAUUUUCAUCCUCAACUUUUAAAACUAAUUUAUUGCAUCCAUUAUUUUUUAAAAUGUUUUAAAUUUAUUUAUUUUUAUCGAUCAUUAUUAAAAAUUUAAAAUAGUAUGUCAUGUCAAUACUCUGUAGAUUUUCAUAUAUGGCAUCAACUUUUGUCCCAAAAGUCAAAGGAAGCUAUGCGGACAUCCUUAAAGGUAUUUAAUCAAAUUUUAAUGAUCAUUGUUGAAAUACUAGAACAUUCAAAAAAACUUGUGGAUGAAAACUUGUAUUUCAAAGAUAGUGAAUGAAAAUAAACUAUUAUUCAAAAUCAUAUAUUAAUUUUUUUAUUUUAUAAAUUUGUAUAACCACGCCAAGCCCAAGGCUUUUAUGGGCCGAAGAAAAGUUGGCUUAACUUUAAUAAAAAGUUUUAUAAAAACUAAGUUAAAAGGUUAAAAAAAUUCGAAC